CUGCCAUAUUGUGAGCGCGUGGUUCCGCUUUAGCCAUAUAGCCGCCGGCAUACUAGAUCUACACCGUCAUGUGUGCUGCCUGGACAGCCGGCAGGGAGCGGGUUAACACCAUUGCAUUGAUUGCACGUCAGUGAAAGUGCUCGGAUGCGUCGUGGUUGAAAGAACCAUUGAAUUCAAACCGUGAGACAAGGUCGCAUGUGUUUCUGCAGGUCGACUGUCAGCUCCUAACCCGAGACCCUGGAGACCCUUUCUGGAGUCAUUACAGAGGGAAACCUGUGGCUGAGGCUGAGCAGAAAUGAACAAGCUGAUCAUCUGAUAGCAGAUCACCUUUUGGCGAGACGUUGUUAACUCCAGCAGUCCCCUGAGAGCUGGUCCCGUGUUGACAGGGAAAGAAAAACACAACUGAGGAGGUCAGAAAUCUAAACCAUGGUUCUGCCAGUGGGCUGGGUGUUCCCCACCGCUGACACAUCUGCAAUAAAACACAUUGUCUGAUUUCGUAAUGGCCUGAUAAUGAAGGUGAAGAGGAGGCCAGGCAGGACAAAACUGCAGAGAUGUA